AACAGGCCCGUUCGAAGCUGAGUCAGAUUACAUGUCUGUCGUCAGUCAAAGCGCGGCCAAAAAUAACUUUUGAUAUUAUGGUCGCACGUCGUUUAUUCAAUAUCUGAUCGUGCAUUACCCAUAUCAAAUACAUUU